UCUACUCUAUUUCCCACCUGAGUGUUAUGACACGCUGCUCCCCUGAAGGCGUGCGACUGACUCCAGCCAUCUGCUCGAGCUCUUUCUAGCUGUGAUAUCACUUUGACAGAGGCUUAUUUCCACAAUAUACUCUGAGGAUCGACAUUCCUGUCCACCCCCAGGAUUCCCACUCCAGUGCUCCCGCUGACUCUUCUCUCCAGACUCACCAUAUUCUACUGCUCUACACAUCAGCAAGUGGACAGAUAGUGGACACCCCAGAUCUGUAAACAAACCAUCUGACCAUGGGGGCCUCACUCUCUGUACACCAACGAGAAUAAAACUGGCAGGGCUCCUCCCUCUGUCAAGGACAGGAAGUGAUUAGGUGACUGCACAUCUGUGUAGUCUCCAGAGGAUGCUGACACUGCUCUUUCUCUCAGGACCACACUGUUAGGUAGUCUCCUGAAGAUGCUGUUCUUUUCUCCUGAAGACAUGGCUCUGUUAGAUGGCGCCAGAGGUCAGGGUCAACAGCACCCUACAGUUUCACUUUUGAAGACCUUUAAGCACAGUGGCAGUUUGCAGACACAGUAACACACGCACCGGCCCUCUGGUUAAAGGACAGCCUCUCGAGCUGCACGUUACGACGAACUGCGUGACCUCCAUGUUGGAAUUUGCAAAUGCAUAUGUCAAUACUAAUUCCCGAAAGCUUCAUUGGCAAUGAAUGGAAGAGGGCCGACACUGCCAAAGCAUUUCAGUGCAUCAAUAGGCUGAUGCUGAUGAACAAUAAUGAACCAAGUGGAUCUUAUGCAAGAGCGUAAUUGAUGAAUGACACAGCAGCAGCGCCUGUUAUCGUCAGAUGAUGAUGCAGAUACUCGUGGCUGAGGACUAUUUUACCGGCUGAUUAACUGCAGGGUUGAAACAAACACAAACACACAAAAGAGUUUUUUUUUUUUUUUUUUUUACUGAUAUACUGUAUAAACUAUGUAUUUUCAUAUUUGACCGUACACACACCCUUCAAUCAUGUUCUCAGGACACAGAGGAGGUGGGUCUGAGGUGUCACUGCAUAUGCUUUCAUCUGUCUGCAGGUGCUGUUGCCAUGGCAACAAUAGAUGAAAUUGUCAGAGUGAAUCAUGAGUUGACUGUCGGUUCACUCCCUGCCCUGAGAUCAGGUCCUGACCUCCUGGGAGGGGGGGGGGCUUGUGAAUAUUGUGUGUGUGUGAGAGAGAAGCCAGAGAAAUGAGAUUCUGCCCUUCUCAUGCACCGUGCUGUUUUUUUUUUUUUUUUACUUUGACUUUAACAUCCGUGGACUCUCCGCUCUCUCCGUGACAACCGUAUCCCCGGGCCCUCCACUUAAAAUUAGAGAGCAGCUGUCCUUGGAUUAUCUUAUCCUGAGACAGAUUCCUAGAAUACCCAGGACAGAAUUAUCCUGAGGGCGAUAUAGACAGGAGAAAUGGAGCUGGGAGCCAUUUUUGGGGUGGGCUGGGUGUAUGUAAAUGCCUAUCUUGAACUGUGUCCAUAUCCUGGCAGUGGCAUGAACCCUAGUUAGUUUGUGCUGCUAUAUGAGUCUGCCAGAAUGGAGGCAGUCGCUGGGAAUAGAUGUUUUCAAUAAAGGUGUGCACAGUUA